UGGGGAAUAUUGCACAAUGGGCGAAAGCCUGAUGCAGCAACGCCGCGUGAGGGAUGACGGCCUUCGGGUUGUAAACCUCUUUUAGUAGGGAAGAAGCGAAAGUGACGGUACCUGUAGAAAAAGCACCGGCUAACUACGUGCCAGCAGCCGCGGCAAUACGUAGGGUGCAAGCGUUGUCCGGAAUUAUUGGGCGUAAAGAGCUCGUAGGCGGUUUGUCGCGUCUGCUGUGAAAUCCCGAGGCUCAACCUCGGGUCUGCAGUGGGUACGGGCAGACUAGAGUGUGGUAGGGGAGAUUGGAAUUCCUGGUGUAGCGGUGGAAUGCGCAGAUAUCAGGAGGAACACCGAUGGCGAAGGCAGAUCUCUGGGCCAUUACUGACGCUGAGGAGCGAAAGCAUGGGGAGCGAACA
rnacentral:rRNA from 1 species